GGAUGACAUCUGUGUUUGUUCAGGAGAUAUUUUGCUAACAGAGGAGCAUCAACAGGAGCAGCUUCCACUUUUGUUGGCAGACGACCUGCGGCUGUUGGACAGCUGAGGUCACAGACGACAGAUAAGAUGAUGGAAAAACCACACGGUUGUUCUUCAGCCGGUCACAGCUUCUGUUUUGUUCAGGACUGUAACAAAAACCCUGAAGACCGGCUCCCUCUCUGUGAAGGAUUACUGCUGUCAUGGAGUCCGGUUCUGACCCAGAAACCAAACCCGCUGAGUGAGUGGGGUGUGGCUGUUCUGGGAUCAGGGACAGAUCUGAACACGAAGUCAGAACCAGGAGGCAGCAGUUCCACCUUCAGCUGCUUUCAGACAGGAAGAGGAUCUGAAAGACUUGUUUCUGCCGAACCUGGUCCUGGCCCAGGUCCUGGCCCAGGUCCUGGCCCAGGUCCUGGUCUGUGUCUGAGUAGGAGCUCUCAGCGGACACUUUGGACCUGGUUCAGGGACAGUUCCAUCUCGGAGCAUCUCUGAUGAACUGGAGUGCGGAGGUCAUGGUUGAUGGUUCCACGCCAGAUGUGACUUACAGUAAAGGYAGCAGGAAGUGGAGCGUGCUCACAGGAAGUUCAGACUUCCUGUUACUUCUGCCACACGUCUGCGGUGACAACAUCUUACCUGCAGCAGCUGCAGAGCGUGGGAGCCACACAGGGCUUCUGUUAGGAGGAUUCAGCACUGAC